AUUGAACGCUGGCGGCAGGCCUAACACAUGCAAGUCGAGCGGAUGAAGGGAGCUUGCUCCUGGAUUCAGCGGCGGACGGGUGAGUAAUGCCUAGGAAUCUGCCUGGUAGUGGGGGAUAACGUCCGGAAACGGGCGCUAAUACCGCAUACGUCCUGAGGGAGAAAGUGGGGGAUCUUCGGACCUCACGCUAUCAGAUGAGCCUAGGUCGGAUCAGCUAGUUGGUGGGGUAAAGGCCUACCAAGGCGACGAUCCGUAACUGGUCUGAGAGGAUGAUCAGUCACACUGGAACUGAGACACGGUCCAGACUCCUACGGGAGGCAGCAGUGGGGAAUACUGGACAAUGGGCGAAAGCCUGAUCCAGCCAUGCCGCGUGUGUGAAGAAGGUCUUCGGAUUGUAAAGCACUUUAAGUUGGGAGGAAGGGCAGUAAGUUAAUACCUUGCUGUUUUGACGUUACCAACAGAAUAAGCACCGGCUAACUUCGU
rnacentral:rRNA from 1 species